AAAUAACAGUUGCUUAAUUUCAGAUUGAAAGAAAGCGGGGGACCCAAAUUUGUGCAGACAAGCACUAGGGGUGAAUCUUAACUUAAUAGUUAAGUAGGGUAACUCACAUACCCGAAUCCGACAGCUAACCUCGUCAGCAUUUUGUGGGAGAGUAC
rnacentral:sRNA from 2 species